rnacentral:rRNA from 1 species
CCCGCACAAGCGGUGGAGCACGUGGUUUAAUUCGACGCAACGCGAAGAACCUUACCUGGGCUUGACAUCCCGAUCGCACCUUAUGGAAACAUAGGGGUCAGUUCGGCUGGAUCGGUGACAGGUGCUGCAUGGCUGUCGUCAGCUCGUGUCGUGAGGUGUUGGGUUAAGUCCCGCAACGAGCGCAACCCUUGUCCUUAGUUGCCAGCAUUCAGUUGGGCACUCUAAGGUGACUGCCGGCUAAAAGUCGGAGGAAGGUGGGGAUGACGUCAAAUCAUCAUGCCCCUUAUGACCUGGGCUACACACGUGCUACAAUGGGCGGUACAAAGGGUCGCGAACCCGCGAGGGGGAGCCAAUCCCAAAAGGCCGCUCUCAGUUCGGAUUGCAGGCUGCAACUCGCCUGCAUGAAGCCGGAAUCGCUAGUAAUCGCGGAUCAGCAUGCCGCGGUGAAUACGUUCCCGGGCCUU